AUUGAACGCUGGCGGCAGGCCUAACACAUGCAAGUCGAACGAGUGGCGGACGGGUGAGUAAUGUCUGGGAAACUGCCUGCUGGAGGGGGAUAACUACUGGAAACGGUAGCUAAUACCGCAUCCCAUCGGAUGUGCCCAGAUGGGAUUAGCUAGUAGGUGGGGUAACGGCUCACCUAGGCGACGAUCCCUAGCUGGUCUGAGAGGAUGACCAGCCAAACGGGAACUGAGACACGGUCCAGACUCUGACGGGAGGAAGCAGUGGGGAAUUUUGCACAAGGGGGGCAAGCCUGAUGCAGCCAUGCGGCGGGUAUGAAGAAGGCCUUCGGGUUGUAAAGUACUUUCAGCGGGGAGGCGUUACCCGCAGAAGAAGCACCGGCUAACUCCGUGCCAGCAGCCGCGUGAAUU
rnacentral:rRNA from 1 species